rfam:Oryza brachyantha chromosome 4, whole genome shotgun sequence.
CCUGUCGACGAAGAGGAUCUAAUCUCGUAUAUUAUUGCGGGAUUGGAUGAAGACUUUGAACCCAUAAUCUCAUCUUUGGUUUCAAAGUCCGAACACGUGAGCCUAGGAGAGGCUUACUCUCAACUGCUCAGCUUUGAGC